GAGAUACACGAAUGCGUGGUCAAAAGAGAAGAGAAAGAUUCUUUACCUAUCGUCAUGACGUAUAAUGUGUCGCGAUAAGCGAUAAAGCGAUCCGGAUCCGGGGCUGCCGGGGAUAUUACAAUGAAAAUACAUUCAUUUCAUCUUAGGAACGUGGAACGCGGAAUGCGAGCAAUGUCAGACACAAAAGAGAGUGGAUAUUUAAUGACUAAUCACGAGGUUUGCUCUUUGGAUCAUGUACAUAAACAGCUCGUUUAUGUUUCGAAUAUAUUAUACAGUCUCCUCGCUGUCGCAAAAAUACCGGACUAGCUGAACCUACGCGCGAUUCGCGAGCGCGGUUCUCGCAUUGAGAAUUUGCGAAGUAAAAAUAGAGAAGUUGUACGUAAUAAUUUACUCACUAACAUGCAUUCGCGUGUUAAGUAAAUUUGCAUUGUAAGUAUAUAUUGAUAAACGCAAUUGAUAUCAGCGUGACGAACGUUUUACGCGCGUUUGAAAUUUUUUUACGCAAUUGAUUGUAACAUAUGUAACAUUAAUCCUUGAAUAAUAGAGGCGCAUAAAAAUAGUAAUGAAAUUUGUUGAUCAAUAAAAUAUACAUAUAUAUAUAUAUAAGCUUAUACCGUAUAAUCCGUAUAGUAGAUGACAUUUUACUUAUAAUUAUUGUAUUGUCCCAUUUUUGUUUUAAUAAAAUUAUAUAUUCAAUUUUAUCGAAAUAUAUAUAUCGUUAAUGUAAUUUAAUUUCUCAUUUAAAUAAAUGGCUGCUUUCUUCACUUUAUCAUUAUUGCUGCAUCAUCGCUAGCAGCAACAGUGACGUUUGUUAAACCGCUUUAAAUGGAGUUGGGCAAAAACUUAUUGGAAUUUAAUUUCAUCUCUGACGUACAUACCUUGAUUUUCAUCCAUCGAGUCUUUCAUCGUUACGCGUAAAUAAAAGUCGCUGCAAUGGCA